rnacentral:rRNA from 1 species
GACGAACCGUGCGAACGUUGUUCGGAAUCACUGGCUUAAAGGGCGCGUAGGCGGGCUGUCAAGUCUGGGGUGAAAUGGCUGACGGCUCAACCGUAGAACUGCCUUAGAUACUGACGGCCUCGAGGAAGGUAGGGGCAUGCGGGAACUGUAGGUGGAGCGGUGAAAUGCGUUGAGUAAUCUACAGGAACUCCGGUGGCGAAA